rnacentral:rRNA from 1 species
UUAAGCCAUGCAUGUCUAAGUACAAGCCGCUCUGCGGCGAAACCGCGAAUGGCUCAAUAAAUCAGUUAUGGUUCCUUAGAUCGUACCAUCCUACUUGGAUAACUGUGGUAAUUCUAGAGCUAAUACAUGCACACAAGCUUCUCUUAGCAGAUCGCAUGGUCUCGCACCGGCGACGCAUCUUUCAAAUGUCUGCCUUAUCAACUGUCGAUGGUAGGUUAUGCGCCUACAAUGGUUGCAACGGGUAACGGGGAAUCAGGGUUCGAUUCCGGAGAGGGAGCCUGAGAAACGGCUACCACAUCCAAGGAAGGCAGCAGGCGCGCAAAUUACCCACUCCCGGCACGGGGAGGUAGUGACGAAAAAUAACGAUACGGGACUCUUCCGAGGCCCCGUGAUUGGAAUGAGUACACUUUAAAUCCUUUAACGAGGACCCAUUGGAGGGCAAGUCUGGUGCCAGCAGCCGCGGUAACUCCAGCUCCAAUAGCGUAUAUUAAAGUUGUUGCGGUUAAAAAGCUCGUAGUUGGAUUCCGGUCCUGGGCGGGCGGUAC